rnacentral:lncRNA from 1 species
GUAUUGAUUUCCUUUGAAGGAGAUGCGCGGAUUCAGAGGCUGGAGGGGUCACGUCCAUGGCUAGUGGUGUCACAGCCAAUUAGAAUUAAUCCCAAAUUUAAUUUCUUUUGGUAGAUGCAUAAGUGAUCACAUGAUGUUAGAUAAAAUUAUGUUUUAUUAUUUUUCCUUUGCUUUAAAGUAUUUUAAAUUACAAUUUGAGUUGUUUUUCAUUUUCUUUAUUUAGUGUUGAAUUUUAAUAGUUUCAAUUGUGUUUGGAUAUUUACCUUUUGCAUUGUUUAGUUUAAUUUAUCUGUUCAUCAUGUUGUCUAUUAUGUUCGGUUUAAUGUUCCCGUUCACCGUGUUGUCUGUUCUCUUCGAUUAUGUUAAUUUAAUUGUGAUGUUGGCUUAGGUUAGUUAGUUGGUCAUUAAUAAAAUUACUUUGUUUCCUUGAAAUUUCUUGGACUGUUCUUGUGUUUAUUCUGCUCUCCC